CCGUCUUGUAGGGGAAGAUGUAUUAGUGCUGCCACGGAAGACUGAAUAACGAAAAGAUCUUAGUCUCCGCUUCCAGUGCUUUUAGUCUCACUACACACUAAUUGUAUGUAUGUUGUGUUCUACUUUAUUGGAAUGUACAGACCGACGAGGGUAGGCUUCAGCUUAAGUAAUGUCACUGGCUUCCUGAAGUAAAAGUAAAAGGUGUGAGAAAAUCUAAUAUACUCCUCCCUCCUCUGGUCUAAUAAAGUAGCUGAGACGCCCCUACUCCUUGACAGCUCUAAACAAAAAAUACAAUGAGGUGUGAGAAAAUCUAAUAUACUCCUCCCUCCUCUGGUCUAAUAAAGUAGCUGAGACGCCCCUACUCCUUGACAGCUCUAAACAAAAAAUACAAUGAGGUAAGUAUGAAAAUUAAACAAUAUUUAUUAUCUGUGUCUUUUCUUCUUUCUUGUAAUCAAGUGUUAAUUAAGGGUUAAUAAAAUAAAAUAGAGUAAAUAAAAUAAAUAAAAAAAUGUAUGGUCUUUGUGUUUUCUUUCAAACCCAGUACAACCCAAUCACUUUCAAUGUAAAAACUCUAAACUUUUUUACUUGUACAAAGAUAAACCCCACUUCAAAAUAAAAUAAAAAAAACACUUUUCUAAACACCACUUAUGAUGAAUUUUAAGUUUUCAAAAUGAUCAACUUCGAAUGAUCAGACAAUCACAUUUGAGGAGAAAAACAACAUCAAUAUAUACGAUGCAAUUUCACAUCUGGAAGAGCACUCACGUGAAAUGUCCCUUUAUGUACUCACUCAGUUCACUUUAGGUUCUGUGAUUCAACCGAACUCUCACAGUUCAAAGUUCCUCGGAUCAAAAAUAUAAAAAAAAUAAGGAAUUGAGAUGAGUUGUCUUGACGUAGCGUGCGUUGAAAUUAUCUUGAGAUUUCGUAGCAAUGUCACUCAAGCUCAAUGAAAUGUCCCACAAAAAAAUGAAUCAAAAAUGAGUCGAAAGCGAAUGAAUCAAACUGAGGUGAAUCAAAAAUGAAAUGAACCAACAGGGAUGUAUUAAACUGCGAUACACCACUGAGAUGUCAAACUGAGAUGUCGUUGGAUGGCGGGUAAAAAAAUAUCUUAAAAAAUCUUGGAA
ensembl:lncRNA